rnacentral:rRNA from 1 species
UACGUAGGUGGCGAGCGUUGUCCGGAAUUACUGAGUGUAAAGGGAGCGUAGGCGGGAUAGCAAGUUGGAUGUGAAAUACCGGGGCUCAACCCCGGGGCUGCAUCCAAAACUGCAAUUCUUGAGUGAAGCAGAGGCAGGCGGAAUUCCCAGUGUAGCGGUGAAAUGCGUAGAUAUUGGGAGGAACACCAGUGGCGAAGGCGGCCUGCUGGGCUUUAACUGACGCUGAGGCUCGAAAGCGUGGGGAGCAAACAGG